rnacentral:rRNA from 1 species
UGGGGAAUAUUGGACAAUGGGCGCAAGCCUGAUCCAGCCAUGCCGCGUGAGUGAUGAAGGCCCUAGGGUUGUAAAGCUCUUUUGUGCGGGAAGAUAAUGACUGUACCGCAAGAAUAAGCCCCGGCUAACUUCGUGCCAGCAGCCGCGGUAAUACGAAGGGGGCUAGCGUUGCUCGGAGUCACUGGGCGUAAAGGGUGCGUAGGCGGGUCUUUAAGUCAGGGGUGAAAUCCUGGAGCUCAACUCCAGAACUGCCUUUGAUACUGAGGAUAUUGAGUUCGGGAGAGGUGAGUGGAACUGCGAGUGUAGAGGUGAAAUUCGUAGAUAUUCGCAAGAACACCAGUGGCGAAGGCGGCUCACUGGCCCGAUACUGACGCUGAGGCACGAAAGCGUGGGGAGCAAACA